rnacentral:tRNA from 1 species
GUUUAAAUAGUUUAACAAAAACGUUGGUUUGUGGGACCAAAGAUAUGAUAAAAAUUCAUUUUAAAUC